rnacentral:tRNA from 13 species
GCAGUCGUGGCCGAGUGGUUAAGGCGAUGGACUCGAAAUCCAUUGGGGAUUUCCCGCGUAGGUUCGAAUCCUACCGGCUGCG